GUGUGGUUUCCUGGAGAGUCCAGGAUGUGGACUUGAAGCUCUGAGAUUGUGGAGCUGUGGUUUGUCAGAGAUCAGCUGUGAUUAUCUGGCAGCAGCGCUGAAGUCCAACCCCUCCCAUCUGAGAGAGCUGGAGCUGAGAGGAAACUACCUGAAGUAUCCAGAUGUGAAGCAGCUGUCUGAUCUUCAGCAGAGUCCAGACUACAGACUGGAGACUCUGCUGUGGUGAUGAUGGUAAACAGGACGGUGUGUGUGCUGAGAGAGGAGCAGCUGUGUCCUGAUGAUCCAGA